CAUCUUUAUAAUUAUACAGAGAUCUGUUGCGCUGGAAGCUUCUCCUUUUUCUCUGGUGAAGGUGGAAAGAGACUGAUAAAGCUGUUCUUGUCAACGUGCCAAGAUGAGGACUCUAGCGAUACUGGUGCUGAUCUGUAUGGGCAAGAUGGCUUUGGCUGAGCCAGAAACUAACCAGAAUGUGACGCGGUGUGGAAAUUGCCGUUGCCAAGGCAACAAUGUUAUUAGUUGCCCUGAUUCGUACCCUGCAUAUGUUGAGGACAUUGUCCUGACCAAUAUUACUCCUGGUGUGUUUGACAAAAUAUUUAACCAUGCUAAACAUUUGUAAGUAA